CUGCAAUGGUUUCUUUGAAGCCACGGGAUCUUUACGGCUGGAAAAGACCUUUAAGUUCCUCGAGUCCAGCCGUGACCCCAGCUGUAUUUCCCAGUUUCCUGGCCAAGCAAUCCAAAAAAACCCACUCACUCCAGGUUCUCUUCCAGACACUUCUCCAGCUGCCCAGCCACUGUGGAGCCGAGCACUUGGUGGUGCUCAUUUGGCACAAGCAGAAGACGUUUGAAAAUACCAAACUGGGAAGAGAACAGCUCCUGGAAAGUGCUCUGGAGGAGAGAGUUGUCCACUGGGAACAGCGGGCAGAGAGCAGGGGCUCAGCAGAUCGCUCGGGUGCCUGAGCAAGGAGCUGAGCUUCUACCUCAUCUCCCUCCUGGUCAUCUGCUGCUCACCCCCUGGUUUUCUCCUCUCAGCUGCCACCUUGGCUCACCCUCUGCAGUCACCAAGUGAGAAAAUUUG
rnacentral:lncRNA from 12 species